ACGAAGGGGGCUAGCGUUGUUCGGAAUUACUGGGCGUAAAGCGCACGUAGGCGGACAUUUAAGUCAGGGGUGAAAUCCCGGGGCUCAACCCCGGAACUGCCUUUGAUACUGGGUGUCUAGAGUAUGGAAGAGGUAAGUGGAAUUCCGAGUGUAGAGGUGAAAUUCGUAGAUAUUCGGAGGAACACCAGUGGCGAAGGCGGCUUACUGGUCCAUUACUGACGCUGAGGUGCGAAAGCGUGGGGAGCAAACAG
rnacentral:rRNA from 1 species